UAGAUGUAUUAAAAGUUCCUCAGUUGUUCGCGGGUCAUUUGGAAGCAUCGUUAAUUGAGCGCCUGGACGUCGUAUUGUGAUAGAAAUCUAUACAUCGCAGCAACGUAUUAAAUAUGUCGGUAAAAUGUAUUACAGGUUCCUCAGUUGUUCGCGGGUCAUUUGGAAGCAUCGUUUAUUGAGCGUCUGGACGUCUUAACGUUACACACACUGUUGAUGUGAUGGACAGUAAAUCUGAAUUCUGCCCAGCAACAUAUUCGCGCCACUGUCAACAAAGGAAGGAAAAAAAGUCGCCAGUCGACGAAGGAUUAGGAGGGACGACUGCUUCGUUGUUGUUAAACUCUAUGUGGAAGAUCAGAAGACGUGGGCAGGAGUUGUGACAGAAGGCAAUGCACAGAUGAAGGACAUCAUACCACAAUUGUGAAAAGAGUGAAAAGAGCCAGUCUUUUUCAGAGCUCUCAACUGCCAUGAUGACCAAGAGGACAUGUGAGACAUGCGGAAAGCUGCCAUAUUCCCAGUCAUUACUUUGCCAAAUCAUCUGUGCACAGAGGAAUCCUACUUUCCGGAGUCUGAAGGCGAGUAGGCUAUUAAGGACUUCCUAGACUGGCAACAGACUGGAGAAGAGGCUGGAGCAGAGACGCCCUUUUUUAGCUACUGAAAUAAUUGACAUUAUGAUAGACAGUGGACAAUAUAGUGUGAGAAUUAGUUGUUGUUCUCCAACAUGUACACACUGCUGUUGUGAAGUAUGUAGUCAAAAUAGAAAAAUAUUGUAUAUGUCAGUGACUCCUAUAGAUUAAGAAAAGUAAUGAAUUUUCUUAAAUAAAUAAAUGUUAUUCUUGGCUCAAUUGGUCAGUGUCUUUGGGUUCAAAUAACAUUAUCAUGAUCCAUUGGCAUCCAAAAAUGGAUAAAUUGACUUUUUAGCUUAACUGAUUCUGAUUGGGUAUCACCUGGAAGUAACACAGCCAAUAAUUGAGAAAGCCACCAAAUGAGAGAAAACGACUAAAGCCGUUGCACACCGUUCCCAGGAAACGUGCGUGCCCCAGCUCUUUGCCUGAGGGGAGGCUUACAGUGGCAGACUUAAAAAAA